AUUGAACGCUGGCGGCAUGCCUUACACAUGCAAGUCGUACGGCAGCACGGACUUCGGUCUGGUGGCGAGUGGCGAACGGGUGAGUAAAGUAUCGGAACGUACCUUUCAGUGGGGGAUAACGUAGCGAAAGUUAUGCUAAUACCGCAUAUUCUGUGCGCAGGAAAGCAGGGGAUCGCAAGACCUUGCGCUGAUUGAGCGGCCGAUAUCAGAUUAGCUAGUUGGUGGGGUAAAGGCCUACCAAGGCGACGAUCUGUAGCGGGUCUGAGAGGAUGAUCCGCCACACUGGAAGUGGGACACGGGCCAGACUCCUACGGGAGGCAGCCGGGGGGAAUUUUGGACAAGGGGGGCAACCCUGAUCCAGCCAGGCCGCGUGAGUGAAGAAGGCCUUCGGGUUGUAAAGCUCUUUCGGCCGGGAAGAAAUCGUACGGGUUAAUACCCUGUGCGGAUGACGGUACCGGCAUAAGAAGCACCGGCUAACUACGUGCCAGCAGCCGCCGUAA
rnacentral:rRNA from 1 species